rnacentral:rRNA from 1 species
UACCCGCUGGAACUUAAGCAUAUCAAUAAGCGGAGGAAAAGAAACCAACAGGGAUUGCCCUAGUAACGGCGAGUGAAGCGGCAACAGCUCAAAUUUGAAAUCUGGCGUCUUUGGCGUCCGAGUUGUAAUUUGCAGAGGGCGCUUUGGCAUUGGCAGCGGUCCAAGUUCCUUGGAACAGGACGUCACAGAGGGUGAGAAUCCCGUACGUGGUCGCUAGCCUUUACCGUGUAAAGCCCCUUCGACGAGUCGAGUUGUUUGGGAAUGCAGCUCUAAAUGGGAGGUAAAUUUCUUCUAAAGCUAAAUACUGGCCAGAGACCGAUAGCGCACAAGUAGAGUGAUCGAAAGAUGAAAAGCACUUUGGAAAGAGAGUUAAAAAGCACGUGAAAUUGUUGAAAGGGAAGCGCUUGCAGCCAGACUUGCCUGUAGUUGCUCAUCCGGGUUUUUACCCGGUGCACUCUUCUAUAGGCAGGCCAGCAUCAGUUUGGGCGGUUGGAUAAAGGUCUCUGUCAUGUACCUCCUUUCGGGGAGAUCUUAUAGGGGAGACGACAUGCAACCAGCCUGGACUGAGGUCCGCGCAUCUGCUAGGAUGCUGGCGUAAUGGCUGUAAGCGGCCCGUCUUGAAACACGGACCAAGGAGUCUAACAUCUAUGCGAGUGUUUGGGUGUCAAGCCCGAACGCGUAAUGAAAGUGAACGGAGGUGGGAACCUUUCGGGGUGCACCAUCGACCGAUCCUGAUGUCUUCGGAUGGAUUUGAGUAAGAGCAUAGCUGUUGGGACCCGAAAGAUGGUGAACUAUGCUUGAAUAGGGUGAAGCCAGAGGAAACUCUGGUGGAGGCUCGCAGCGGUUCUGACGUGCAAAUCGAUCGUCAAAUUUGGGCAUAGGGGCGAAAGACUAAUCGAA